CAAAUGAAUUCAAUUUAAUAGCGAAUUGUGAAAGUUAUUAUAUUUUAUUGAUAUCAAUGAUUUAUCGUAAUGGUAUUUUAAUUGAAAGGUUUUGAAUUUCGAUGUGGUUGUCUCAAUGAAGUAUUUAAGCAAAAUUAUUCGUCCUGUAAUCCUUUUAUUUGUCGGUAACAUUUGAAAACACCAACAAGAGUACAAAAGUACAGUAAUUAUUAAUGUCUCGUAAACGUAGGAAAGGCGAUCAUAAUUGUGGACAAGAGUGUCAAAACGGAUCCUACUAAUCUUGUGUAUGUAACAUCUUUAUUAUUUAGACUUAUGAUGUAGACUGUAUCAUAGACGGAAAACGCCUCGAUAUUGACUCCUGUGAUGAAUUGGUUGGUAUAUACGAAAAGUAAGCAAAUUGUGGCCGCAAGAAGUCCAAGACAACUAUAGCGAAUGAUACUGACUGGUCCGGAAAUUGUGUAAAAUAUAAAUAGCAAAACAAAGCCGUUUAUCACUGGAUAGAAGAUAACAAGAAAAUUUUGCCAAAUUUGGCUUGUCGAUUUAGUUAAGUCAAUGGCUCGUGAAUACAUCUUCCGAUAAAACCUUAGAUCAGCAAAUGUCCACUGAGAAGUCGAAUGGUUUAUCAAUUUUCGGUUGAAAAGCGUGAAAACUGAUCUUAUAAAAAUAGCUGACGUAAAUAGGGUGAAAAUUUUGUUACUUGGUAAUAAAGGGAUCAAAAUGAAAUUGUAUACAUGGAAAAGUUCAAUGGUGGUUACCGUUGAACCCAUACUAUAGUGAUUCAUGUAGAAAAUUACUGAAAAGACAAUAACGUUCAAGAGCCAGGAGGAUACAAAGAGCAGUCCAAUAAUAGUAACUUUGCGUCUUGCUUUUUUCAAUAUAUUGGCCAUCAUUGGAUGAUCAUGAUUAAAUCCAAGAGCUCGGGCUUUCUUUUCAAAUUUAGAGAAAUUAAUUUUAUGAAUAAAUGAAAGAUAAACACAACCAAGCAUAGUGAAAUCAACGGCCACAGUAAUUACAAUGAUGAAAAUAUCUCCAGGUAUAGCAGGACUAGCAUCCCACACCGGUAAAAUUGAAGCUAUCAUGAGUACUGUGUGGGUCAAAUUGAAGAUUGAAGCGAAAAUACUGAUUGCUUGUAAUAUGGUGCGGAAAUUUUGUUGAAUAUAAUUUAACCGAUCAGAUUGUAAUAAUAAAACAAUAGAUUUGCCAUUUGAAUCGGGUGUCAAUCGCUCCGUAAAACUGUUAUUCUGAGAAUUGUUUUUUUCCACGGGAAUAUUGAAAGAUGUUAACUGUAUUCGUUUCAUUUCUGGCCCUAAAUUAUAAACUAAGUCAAGUUAAGAACCAAAAUAAUAUGCUGAUUUUAUAUUAAAAUGUCUCGCAGAUA